rnacentral:rRNA from 1 species
UACGGAGGGGGCUAGCGUUGUUCGGAAUUACUGGGCGUAAAGCGCGCGUAGGCGGACCUGCAAGUCGGGGGUGAAAGCCCGAGGCUCAACCUCGGAACUGCCUUCGAUACUGCGGGUCUCGAGUCCGGGAGAGGUGAGUGGAAUUCCUAGUGUAGAGGUGAAAUUCGUAGAUAUUAGGAAGAACACCAGUGGCGAAGGCGGCGACCUGGACCUGUGCUGACGCUGAGGCGCGAAAGCGUGGGGAGCGAACAGG